rnacentral:rRNA from 1 species
UCCGGUGGCAAUAGCGGCAGAGUCACACCCGUUCCCAUUCCGAACACGGAAGUUAAGCCUGCCCGCGCCGAUGGUACUUGGGGGGAGACCCCCUGGGAGAGUAGGUCGCCGCCGGAA